rnacentral:rRNA from 1 species
UACGGAGGGGGCUAGCGUUGUUCGGAAUUACUGGGCGUAAAGCGUGCGCAGGCGGUGAGCUGUGUCCGAUGUGAAAGCCCCGGGCUUAACCUGGGAAUGGCAUUGGAAACUGGCUCGCUGGAGUGUGGCAGAGGGGGGUGGAAUUCCGCGUGUAGCAGUGAAAUGCGUAGAGAUGCGGAGGAACACCGAUGGCGAAGGCAGCCCCCCUGGGCUAACACUGACGCUCAGGCACGAAAGCGUGGGGAGCAAACAGG